UACGAAGGGUGCAAGCGUUGUUCGGAAUUACUGGGCGUAAAGCGCGCGUAGGCGGCUUAAUAAGUUGGGAGUGAAAUCCCGGGGCUUAACUCCGGAAUUGCUUUCAAAACUAUUAAGCUAGAGUAUGGCAGGGGACAGUGGAAUUCCUAGUGUAGAGGUGAAAUUCGUAGAUAUUAGGAGGAACACCAGUGGCGAAAGCGACUGUCUGGACCAUUACUGACGCUGAGGCGCGAAAGCGUGGGGAGCAAACAGG
rnacentral:rRNA from 1 species